rnacentral:rRNA from 1 species
GACGAACGCUGGCGGUGUGCUUAACACAUGCAAGUCGAACGGUAAGGCCCUUUCGGGGGUACACGAGUGGCGAACGGGUGGGUAACACGUGAGUAACCUGCCCUCAUCUCUGGGAUAACAGUCGGAAACGGUUGCUAAUACUGGAUAUGAGCUUGCAAGGCAUCUUGUGGGUUGGAAAGAUUUUUUUUGGUUGGGGAUGGACUCGCGGCCUAUCAGCUUGUUGGUGAGGUAGUGGCUCACCAAGGCUUCGACGGGUAGCCGGCCUGAGAGGGCGACCGGCCACAUUGGGACUGAGAUACGGCCCAAACUCCUACGGGAGGCAGCAGUGGGGAAUAUUGCACAAUGGACGGAAGUCUGAUGCAGCAACGCCGCGUGCGGGAUGACGGCCUUCGGGUUGUAAACCGCUUUCAAUUGUGACGAAGCUUUUUUGUGACGGUAGCAGUAGAAGAAGCACCGGCUAACUACGUG